rnacentral:rRNA from 1 species
UACGUAGGGUGCUAGCGUUAAUCGGAAUUAUUGGGCGUACAGGGCGCGUAGGCGGAUUGGUAAGUUGGAUGUGAAAUCCCAGAGCUCAACUCUGGAACCGCAUCCAAAACUGUCGAUCUAGAGGGUAGAUGGGGAAAAUGGAAUUCCACAAGUAGCGGUGAAAUGCGUAGAUAUGUGGAAGAACACCUGUGGCGAAAAGCGGUUUUCCAAUUUACACCUGACGCUGAGGCGCGAAAGCAAGGGAGUCAAACAGG